rnacentral:lncRNA from 1 species
UACCACGUCAUGAUGUUAUUAUUACCAGCCAUUUCAAUGCAAGCACUCCUUUACGUAGUUUUUGUUAUUCCACAUAGUUGUAGUUAUUUGUAGCUCCAAUGUCAUCUUGUUCCUUGCUUGGUUGAACAAUCUUAAAAAACGUGAUUAAAUUGUUGAACAAUGAAAAUUGUAUUCCAUGUAUUUAUUCAAAUCUUAGUAUCAUGUGGCGUUACCUCAAUUAUAAAAAAUAUAGAAUGUAUUUUAUCAGCUGUUGAUGUUUGUUUCUGCUUCUUUUCUCAUAACCAGUGUUCUGAACGUUGAUUAGUUGAAUUAGAAUUAGCUUCUUUUAAGGUACAACAAUUAUUAAUGAAUAAUAUCUCAAUAAUUGUGAAGAAUUGGCCAAGUAAGACUGUAGAGACUACACUGAUUUGUACCGAUAUUUUGUUCCAGAUUGUAACCUCAGUCCGUAGACCGAAAUUUAAUCGUUUUCAAAUAGUGAACCAAUUUUGUCAGUCUCAAUAUAUCCUGGAAUUAUAGCUUUAAAACAAGUAGCGAAACGCAACUGUAAGCCUCAUGAAAUAGUAUGUCAGAUUUUAAACUAGUCUAUCGGAGUCUUCAGAUAAUAGUGCAGUCUGUAAGCCCUGCAACCUGUCCUUUAAGGGAGCAGACGAGCUUUUGGAUCAAGCUAAGACUCAUUUUGAAUGCAACGAAAUUUUUUCAAAAACUUCCUCAAUCUCUCCCAAUCAUUUCUCGUCUAAGGAUUGUAAGGCUUUUCUUCCGAUUUUCGAAGACCUAGUUGAACAUUAUCAUCUUCAUAUUUCGGAGGAGUUUGAUUCCUAUCCGGAGAUACCUGAGGAAGAUGAAUACUACGAAAUAGAGGAAGGAAGGAGGUCUGUCGGUAGCCUUCAAAGUCGUCCUUUGUAAAAUGAUGGUCAAAUUUAAGAGACUCGUACUCUCCUGUGCCCUGUAAAUUCAACCAAUACUUAGAAAUUCAUACUAAUGCUUCAACGUCUGGCUUUGGUAUCUCUUUUUCGGAAGGGAGGUUCGAUCAGGAGAAUGGUAUCUAGAGGAGAUAAAAUUACAUAUCAAUAUGCCUUAAGGUAUAACUUUUGCUCAAAUUAUUCGCAAAUUUCUCGAUACCAUCAUUGAAGAUUACAAUUGUAUACCUACAGAGAUGAAAUCAGGAGAACUGAAGGCAUCGCUUCAGGAUUGCUAUUGUAGGGUGAGUAG